rnacentral:rRNA from 1 species
UACGUAGGCAGCGAGCGUUGUUCGGAAUUACUGGGCGUAAAGAGUGUGUAGGCGGUUCUCUAAGUCUGUUGUGAAAUCUCCCGGCUCAACUGGGAGGGUGCGGCGGAAACUGGAGUGCUCGAGUGUGGGAGAGGUAAGCGGAAUUCCUGGUGUAGCGGUGAAAUGCGUAGAUAUCAGGAGGAACACCGGUGGCGAAGGCGGGUCUCUGGGCCGAUACUGACGCUGAGGAGCGAAAGCGUGGGGAGCGAACAGG